AUGGCGUUGCUACAUAACAUGUCAGACGAGUGCAUUAAGAGCGAACUGGAUCUCUUCUCCCUGCCUAUGACGCAGACUUCGAUAGAAAAAAGUACAUAUAUUGAAAUACCCCCGCUAUCAGCGCUAACAGAUGGUGGCCCCAUAGAGUUCUUUGUAUCGGCCAGUAGCGAAGACUAUAUGGAUCUAAACAAUACGUAUUUACACCUGAGGAUCAAGAUUACUAAUCCUGAUGGAACAGACUUGGCGCCGGCGGCACCCGUUGGACUGAUUAACUAUCCAGGAUGCACGUUAUUCUCCCAAGUAGAUAUUACUCUGGGUGAUAGGCUUAUCACCCAGUCGUCAAACACCUAUCCGUACAGAGGCAUAAUAGAAUGCCUGCUAAACUAUGGAAACGGAACAUUAGACACCCAAUUUGGUUGUGGUCUAUUCCAGAAAGACACACACGGACAUAUGGACGAGAUUCUUCCUGGAGGUCUCAAUCUAGGCUUAACGACAAGGAGUGAAUAUACGGGGCGAAGUCGUAUAGCGGAGCUGAUAUCCCCUAUACACGUCGAUAUGUUUUUUCAGGAGAAACUGAUGAUUAACGGAGUUGAUCUCCGUAUGAGAUUCAUUAGAGCAAAAAAUGAUUUCUGUCUCAUGUCCGAUGGUGCUGUGGAAUACCGUGUCUCUAUAGUGUCUGCAAAUGUUUUCAUUAAAAAGGUAUCGGUAGCACCAGGCGUCAAGCUGGCACAUGCCCGUGCGUUAAACCAGGCUAACGUUAAAUACCCUGUUGAUAGGGUAUGUCUAAAGAAUGUAUCCAUCGCAGCGGGCAGCCGUAUAUGCACACAGGAUAAUCUAUUUCUAGGACAAAUACCCAAGAUGGUUAUUAUAGGUUUUGUGAAUAACGAAGCAUUCACAGGGAGCUAUGCCAGGAAUCCUUUCAGAUUCCAACAUUUCGGCAUUGAGUUCUUAUCCCUAUAUUGCGACGGUCAAGCAUACCCCUCUAAGCCCUUUCAGCCUGACUUUAGAAAUGGCCUCUAUACUCGAGAAUAUUUCCAGCUCAUUCAGGCUACAGGUCGUCAGCUCAAAGAUAGAGAAAUAGCUAUUAACCAUAAGGAAUUCGGGGACGGGUAUGCAUUAUUUUGUUUCAACCUUGAGGCAGAUGAGGGCUGUGGGCAACAUGUAUCGCUAGUCAGAACAGGGAAUGUGAGGCUAGAGGCACGAUUCAGAGCAGCACUGGCUACAACGGUCAAUUUGAUAUGUUAUGCAGUUUAUGAUUCUGUUAUAGAAAUAUCAAAUAGACGGCAGGUGCUGUUGGACUAUUACUAA
rnacentral:lncRNA from 1 species